AAAAAGACCUUCUGUCAUGGGGCACAUGGAGAGCUACCUGACUGCCCUUUAUGUUGAAGGGACAUGGAGAGAUUUUGGAAGCAUAAUUUUUUGGUAGUUGGACAGCUAGUGAUUGUUGGACCUGGUGCCCUU
ensembl:snRNA